GGGGAAUUUUCCGCAAUGGGCGAAAGCCUGACGGAGCAAGACCGCGUGGGGGAGGAAGGUUCUUGGAUUGUAAACCCCUUUUCUCAGGGAAGAAAAAAAUGACGGUACCUGAGGAAUCAGCAUCGGCUAACUCCGUGCCAGCAGCCGCGGUAAUACGGAGGAUGCAAGCGUUAUCCGGAAUAAUUGGGCGUAAAGCGUCCGUAGGUGGCUGUUCAAGUCUGCCGUUAAAGACCGGGGCUUAACCCUGGAAAGGCGGUGGAAACUGAACGGCUAGAGUGCAGUAGGGGUAGAGGGAAUUCCCAGUGUAGCGGUGAAAUGCGUAGAGAUUGGGAAGAACACCGGUGGCGAAAGCGCUCUGCUGGACUGCAACUGACACUGAGGGACGAAAGCUAGGGGAGCGAAUGGGAUUAGAUACCCCAGUAGUCCUAGCCGUAAACGAUGGAUACUAGGUGUGGCCUGUAUCGACCCGGGCCGCGCCGUAGCUAACGCGUUAAGUAUCCCGCCUGGGGAGUACGCACGCAAGUGUGAAACUCAAAGGAAUUGACGGGGGCCCGCACAAGCGGUGGAGUAUGUGGUUUAAUUCGAUGCAACGCGAAGAACCUUACCAGGACUUGACAUGUCCGGAACCUACUGGAAACAGAAGGGUGCCUUCGGGAACCGGAACACAGGUGGUGCAUGGCUGUCGUCAGCUCGUGUCGUGAGAUGUUGGGUUAAGUCCCGCAACGAGCGCAACCCUCGUCCUUAGUUGCCAUCAUUAAGUUGGGCACUUUAGGGAGACUGCCGGUGACAAACCGGAGGAAGGUGGGGAUGACGUCAAGUCAGCAUGCCCCUUACGUCCUGGGCUACACACGUACUACAAUGCUACGGACAAAGGGCAGCAAGUUAGCAAUGACAAGCAAAUCCCAUAAACCGUGGCUCAGUUCAGAUCGCAGGCUGCAACUCGCCUGCGUGAAGGCGGAAUCGCUAGUAAUCGCCGGUCAGCAUACGGCGGUGAAUCCGUUCCCGGGCCUUGUACACACCGCCCGUUACACCAUGGGAGUUGGCCACGCCCGAAGUCGUUACCCUAACCUGCAAAGGAGGGGGACGCCGAAGGCAGGGCUGAUGACUGGGGUGAAGUCGUAACAAGGUAGCCGUACCGGAAGGUGUGGCUGGAUCACCUCCUUUUAAGGGAGACCAAACCUCUGAAACCGAAACCAGAAAAGUCGGUGACAGAAGGUCAUCCUAGGUCAUCGAGGUCGUGGAAACAAAAGCUUUCAAACUAUUAAGGUUCCGGUUCAUGGGCUAUUAGCUCAGGUGGUUAGAGCGCACCCCUGAUAAGGGUGAGGUCCCUGGUUCGAGUCCAGGAUGGCCCACCUAAAGUCAAGCAAACAACUUGACAAGUAAGGGGGUAAAGCUUGAGUUGGGGAAGCCCUAUUGAGUGGCAGCUUUCUAACCAGAGCAAGUCCAAACCUAAAAUCGAAAAAGAAGUCAGCAACGGCUCUGAAACGCAAAAAGCCUCAGAGAGACUGCUGGACUCUAAUUCCAGCCAAAGAACCUUGAAAACUGCAUAGUAACGUUAAAAAGCAGGAGAAAAUGAGACGUCCAAUCGAAGAAGGCGUCCGUAUCAUCCAAGCAAGAGAAUGUGUCAAG
rnacentral:misc_RNA from 1 species